rnacentral:rRNA from 1 species
GACGAACGCUGGCGGCGUGCUUAACACAUGCAAGUCGAACGCAGAAGCUUGGUGCUUGCACUGGGCGGGUGAGUGGCGAACGGGUGAGUAAUACGUGUGUAACCUGCCUUUGACUCUGGGAUAAGCCUGGGAAACUGGCUCUAAUACUGGAUACGAUAUGCCACCGCAUGGUGGUGUGUGGAGAGGGUUUUAGUGGUUUUGGAUUGGCUCACUGCCUACCAGCUUGUUGGGGGGGUAGUGGCCUACCAAGGCGACGACGGGUAGCCGGCCUGAGAGGGUGACCGGCCACACUGGGACUGAGACACGGCCCAGACUCCUACGGGAGGCAGCAGUGGGGAAUAUUGCACAAUGGGCGGAAGCCUGAUGCAGCGACGCCGCGUGAGGGAUGACGGCCUUCGGGUUGUAAACCUCUUUCGGCGCGGAAGAAGCGAGAGUGACGGUACGUGCUAAAGAAGCACCGGCUAACUACGUG